rnacentral:siRNA from 1 species
ACCUGUCCAUGGGUCGAGCCGGGC